UACGUAGGGUGCAAGCGUUAAUCGGAAUUACUGGGCGUAAAGCGUGCGCAGGCGGUUAUGCAAGACAGAUGUGAAAUCCCCGGGCUUAACCUGGGAACUGCGUUUGAAACUGGGAGACUUGAGUGUGGCAGAGGGGGGUGGAAUUCCACGUGUAGCAGUGAAAUGCGUAGAUAUGUGGAGGAACACCGAUGGCGAAGGCAGCCCCCUGGGUUAACACUGACGCUCAUGCACGAAAGCGUGGGGAGCAAACAGG
rnacentral:rRNA from 1 species